UUCGAGCGUCAGUACAACACUCAAGCCUAGCUUGGUCUUGGGCCCCGCCGGAGACGGCGGGCCUUAAAAUCAGUGGCGGCGCCAAUCGAGCCCUAAGCGUAGUAAUACUCCUCGCUAUAGGGUCUCGGUGGACGCUGGCCAGCAACCCCCAACUUUCUAAGUUUGACCUCGGAUCAGGUAGGGAUACCCGCUGAACUUAA
rnacentral:misc_RNA from 1 species